rnacentral:rRNA from 1 species
AUCGAACGCUGGCGGCAAGCCUAACACAUGCAAGUCGAACGAGUGGCGGACGGGUGAGUAAUGUCUGGGAAACUGCCUGAUGGAGGGGGCACAAUACUGGAAACGGUAGAUAAUACCGCAUACCAUCGGAUGUGCCCAGAUGGGAUUAGCUAGUAGGUGGGGUAAAGGCUCACCUAGGCGACGAUCCCUAGCUGGGCUGAGAGGAUGACCAGCCACACUGGAACUGAGACACGGCCCAGACUCCUACGGGAGGCAGCAGUGGGGAAUAUUGCACAAUGGGCGCAAGCCUGAUGCAGCCAUUCCGCUUGUAUGAAGAAGGCCUUCGGGUUGUAAAGUACUUUCAGCGGGGAGGCGUUACCCGCAGAAGAAGCACCGGCUAACUCCGUGCCAGCAGCCGCGGUAAUUC